rnacentral:rRNA from 1 species
AUUGAACGCUGGCGGCAUGCUUUACACAUGCAAGUCGAACGGCAGCGCGGGCUUCGGCCUGGCGGCGAGUGGCGAACGGGUGAGUAAUGCAUCGGAACGUGCCCAGUAGUGGGGGAUAGCCCGGCGAAAGCCGGAUUAAUACCGCAUACGACCUGAGGGUGAAAGCGGGGGACCGAAAGGCCUCGCGCUAUUGGAGCGGCCGAUGUCGGAUUAGCUAGUUGGUGGGGUAAAGGCUUACCAAGGCGACGAUCCGUAGCUGGUCUGAGAGGACGACCAGCCACACUGGGACUGAGACACGGCCCAGACUCCUACGGGAGGCAGCAGUGGGGAAUGUUGGACAAUGGGGGCAAGCCUGAUCCAGCCAUGUCGCGUGAGGGAAGAAGGCCUUCGGGUUGUAAACCGCUGUUGUUCGGGAAGAAAUACUCUGGGCUAAUACCCCGGGGGGAUGACGGUACCGGAAGAAUAAGCACCGGCUAACUACGUG